rnacentral:rRNA from 1 species
UGGGGAAUCUUGCGCAAUGGGGGAAACCCUGACGCAGCGACGCCGCGUGGGCGAUGAAGGCCUUCGGGUCGUAAAGCCCUGUCGAGCGGGACGAAACGUGCGAGCUCUAACAUAGCUCGUGCCUGACGGUACCGCUAAAGGAAGCCCCGGCUAACUCCGUGCCAGCAGCCGCGGUAAUACGGAGGGGGCUAGCGUUAUUCGGAAUUAUUGGGCGUAAAGGGCGUGUAGGCGGCUUCGUAAGUCCCAUGUGAAAUCCCUCGGCUCAACCGGGGAACUGCACGGGAAACUGCGAGGCUUGAGUCCGGGAGAGGAGAGUGGAAUUCCCAGUGUAGCGGUGAAAUGCGUAGAUAUUGGGAGGAACACCGGUGGCGAAGGCGGCUCUCUGGACCGGUACUGACGCUGAGACGCGAAAGCUAGGGGAGCAAACGGG